GACACUAAUCUUCCUAAAAAUUCGACUAACUGGCUGCUCACCUGGACCCUGACAUCCUAGCAUGGUUGUUAUAAGCCAAUGGAUAUACCCACAGUGAGGCAAGGUCCACCUAGAAUGUGGUUACAUAAUCUAAGGACAUCAAACAUGUAGUAACAUUGUACAGGGACUUCUGGAGGCCUGGCCAUCGGCACGAGCAUAGAGGAGAUGUCAGGCAGGUGCUGGGAACAGUGUAUCCUCGGCAGAUGUUCAAAGGGCUGACCACACUUGGCUAGCCUUGCUAUCCAAAAAGUGUGUCUAGUCUCAAGGCCAUGGCCACCUGGGAACGGUCAUGCAGCACAUGGUUCCCCACCCCCAAGAACACUGCUUCACCUGCUGCCUCCUCAAGAGGAAGCUGGCAAAGGUCAAGAGGGGGAAGCAGACCUUCUCUGACCUCUCAUGCUCUUCCAGACCUACACUUCUUCACCCUGUUCGUGCAAAUCCUGGCUCUUUAGAGGCUCAUACUGUCAAGAAAUACUACCC
rnacentral:lncRNA from 10 species